GGUAAUUUUAACUAUUUAUAAAUAAAUGAGUACCUUGAGGAGGGUGGCUUACAUUUUUGAAAGAUUAUUUACAGAAAUCUGAAUUUGGCAGCACAGAUGAGCACGCAAGAGGAUAGGACAAUGCAAAGUUUCAAAGAUUACCUAUCUUAAGGCAAACAAUUUACUGCAGUAGACAUUUUUUUCUAUUGUAUUUUUUACAUGUCACAGGUGAAAUAUCAGUAAUGUAUGAUCAAUACAUUACACUUUAAAGGUGAAGGAACCUUGAACUAUCCUCCUGCAAACUUUGAGAAAAG